rnacentral:rRNA from 1 species
UACGAAGGGGGCUAGCGUUGUUCGGAUUUACUGGGCGUAAAGCGCACGUAGGUGGAUAGUUAAGUGAGGGGUGAAAUCCCAGGGCUCAACCCUGGAACUGCCUUUCAUACUGGCUAUCUUGAGUUCGGAAGAGGUGAGUGGAAUUCCUAGUGUAGAGGUGAAAUUCGUAGAUAUUAGGAAGAACACCGGUGGCGAAGGCGGCUCACUGGUCCGAUACUGACACUGAGGUGCGAAAGCGUGGGGAGCAAACAGG